rnacentral:lncRNA from 10 species
AAAUAUCACUUUGGAGGCCAUGUGCAGAUCAGAUUUGGAAGUGACCAAGACUGGAGGCAGGGACACCAGAGUUUUCUGUUAAAAACUGGUCCAUGCAAGAAAAGAUGACUCCUGAAAUAAGACAGUGAUCAUUAGGAUGAAGAGGAAGAGAAGAUUUGAGGAAUACUUAGAACAGAAUUUACUGAAUUUACUGGUUGAAUUGAAUGUGAAGAGGAGAUGAAUAAAGAAGAAAACACCCUCAAAGGAACAAAUAUGAAACAAUCUCUGGAAAAUGGAAUUUGAUUUUGAUUCAACAACAGGAGAAUUCUACUGUUUUUCUCCAGCAGCUCCACGAUAAAAGGGAACCCUGAGCAGAACACAUGCACAAACUCAUGCCAUACCCUAAGGGACAAGGUUCCCCACAUCUACUUGGAAAUCUUUGGGAUGCUCAAUGAUUAGCUCUUUGGAACUGAGAGAUGAGAUGAGGCCUGGAAAACUUCCCCCAGUACAGUCAAGUUCCUGUUGACUAAUUCUGUGACCACCAGUGACAGUCUUUGAGUCCGUGAGGCAGAGUUGCGGCAGCACAGGCUUUGCUUGGAGUUGGAUGGUUCGCACCCUGCUUGGCAUGGUUUCUAAGAGACAUCCUCUGAGU